AUGGAUUAAUUAAAGCGCUUUUCACAAUAUCUAAGACGUGUGUGUUUGAAAAGAAGAAAUACUACACACAAUAGGAAUUUUACAGGUUCAUCAAACUCCUUUUGCCUUUUCCCUCGGCACCUUGAAAGAGUCCUAAGCAUGUCAGUCACAGAGAAGGGACUUGGCUCUCAGCCCGGCAAGUUUUUGUUCUGCCUCCAGCAGGUUUCUCUGACAGACGUGAUAGGGGAGGAAAGUGUUCCAAAUGCUCAAGUGCACUGCUGGGGGAUUCUGAGAUAGAAAUACAUUUUAAUGAAUCUUUCUUUCUUAGCCAACUUUGAAAAUGGCUGAACUAAACAGUCUCUCCCAUUCUUUCCCCAAUCAACCUGAUCGAAUAAAGGUGCUAAUAUAUUUAACUCCAGAAGGGGGAGCCAGCACCACAGCUAUGCGUUCUCUUCCAGACAAAAUGUCUACCUGCUGUUCUUCAAAAAGGUUAGGUGAAGUAAACAUCAUCACAAUUGCUGGGCUCAUACUAUAUCUAGGAUUGCUGCUUGCUGGCUGUGUCAUUAUCUCUUGAAAUAGACACUGUGGUUGAUGGUCCAGAUGACCUGUUUUUAAAUGGGAACAACAGGUUUGUGCAACAUCCAAAGUGAGAACAAAGCUAUAAGGCCAGCCCCCAGUUCUGCAUCUCUCUUUCUCUUCCAGGGAGAGUGUUUUUUCAGCAAGCUGAAGUGAAUAGCAUCACAUUCUUCCUUCCAUAGGGGAACCUCUUUAGGAAUUGGCAUUGUCACACCAUCGCCUGCUUGCCAACUCUCUUUUCAACACCUGGCAGCUUUUCUUGGGAGCAAAGGAAGCAGCUGUGCUUGUAAUAUUAUUUGGGGAAUUAAUGCAUGCGGAAGAAGCCAAAAAGAUUGGGCUGGAGAUGCACUUUACCUCUAAAGCUCUUUUGAGGGAAGAAUGGCAAAGGGACUGAUAAGCAAUCAAAUCACUGAAGUUUUUGAUGUUUUAAUUGUAUUCUUAGUUCUAACUCUUUGAUAAUAAUAAUACAAAAACCUAUGCAAAUUAAUUACCUG
rnacentral:lncRNA from 1 species